ACCUGCGGAGGGAUCAUUACUGAGUUUACGCUCUACAACCCUUUGUGAACAUACCUAUAACUGUUGCUUCGGCGGGUAGGGUCUCCGUGACCCUCCCGGCCUCCCGCCCCCCCGGGCGGGUCGGCGCCCGCCGGAGGAUAACCAAACUCUGAUUUAACGACGUUUCUUCUGAGUGGUACAAGCAAAUAAUCAAAACUUUUAACAACGGAUCUCUUGGUUCUGGCAUCGAUGAAGAACGCAGCGAAAUGCGAUAAGUAAUGUGAAUUGCAGAAUUCAGUGAAUCAUCGAAUCUUUGAACGCACAUUGCGCCCGCCAGCAUUCUGGCGGGCAUGCCUGUUCGAGCGUCAUUUCAACCCUCAAGCUCUGCUUGGUGUUGGGGCCCUACAGCCGAUGUAGGCCCUCAAAGGUAGUGGCGGACCCUCCCGGAGCCUCCUUUGCGUAGUAACUUUACGUCUCGCACUGGGAUCCGGAGGGACUCUUGCCGUAAAACCCCCUAAUUUUCCAAAGGUUGACCUCGGAUCAGGUAGGAAUACCCGCUGAACUUAAGCAUA
rnacentral:rRNA from 1 species